rnacentral:rRNA from 1 species
CCUACGGGCGGCUGCAGUGGGGAAUAUUGGGCAAUGGGCGCAAGCCUGACCCAGCAACGCCGCGUGAAGGAAGAAGGCUUUCGGGUUGUAAACUUCUUUUCUCAGGGACGAAGAAAGUGACGGUACCUGAGGAAUAAGCCACGGCUAACUACGUGCCAGCAGCCGCGGUAAUACGUAGGUGGCAAGCGUUAUCCGGAUUUACUGGGUGUAAAGGGCGUGUAGGCGGGACUGCAAGUCAGAUGUGAAAACCACGGGCUCAACCUGUGGACUGCAUUUGAAACUGUAGUUCUUGAGUACUGGAGAGGCAGACGGAAUUCGUGGUGUAGCGGUGAAAUGCGUAGAUAUCUGGAGGAACAUCAGUGGCGAAGGCGAUUAUCUGGCACAUAACUGACGCUGAGGAGCGAAAGCGUGGGUAGCAAACAGGAUUAGAUACCCGAGUAGUC